GCAGCCUUACAAAUGUUCAGAUUUUUUUAAUCUUUCGAGUAGCUGUUCUAUUAUUAGUAAAAAUAAUAUCAAGUUCCUAAAUUGAGUGCUUAUAUGAUUGCACUUUGCCGAAUUUUUUUUUUGGUUUUCUUAUUAAUGAACAGUAGUCAACUUUGGCGUAGCCAGAAAAUUGGUCUAGGGGUGUUUCUCUAAUUCUAAUCUAAUUUUGCUUCCAUUUCUUGUUUUUUUGGACAAAUGAGAGAAAAAAUCAGGUGAAUCUAAAUGUUACCAAGCAACAAAAAAUCAAACCGUCAUUAAUUAACGAUCACCUUCUUGAAAAUAACAUAUGCGGAACUGCGUAAGUGACUGAAGAAAGGACCUUGAGGGUACUGGAAAGCCAAAGCUGCUUCAUAAACCAUUUAGUCAUUUGUAAGCUUAUUCCAAUGUAGUAAUUGUGUUUUGAAAGCAAAUAUUCUAUCGUGUAAACAAUGAUCCAUAUUUAACCAGUGUGAAUACUUAUUUCUAGCAGCAGUGUAUUCAAAUUAAUGUGAUGUGGGGUUGUUGGAUAGUUUUCCUCGUAAUAGUGAUAGGAAAUGUUGUACAAAGUACAGUAUUUCACAUUUCACGUGUAAAGAAAUCAUGGGUCAGUGCCAUCGAGUAUUGCAAAUGCUACGAAAUGCGACUAGCCGUGGUUGAUACGCUGGAAAAACAAAAACUACUUGAACAAGCCAUCGUUGGUUCUCCGAUAUUCAGCAAAAAAUACACCACCGUGUGGAUUGGAGCAAACGACCGGGAAACCGAGGGCCACUUUGUAUGGCAGCCAACGGGAACGGCAGUUCAGUACAGCAACUGGGGUCCCACGGCGCCUAACAAACGCGGUAGGAAUAAGAACUGCGUACACUUAGUUUAUUCCGAAAACAGGAUCUUUGAAUGGGAUGAUUGGAGAUGUCAACGUGAAUCGAAUGUUGCGUGUGAGAAAAUAAAAGAUUGUGAUUGACAAAUUCCGAAUUUUAGGAGCAGUGCUCACCGGAUUAUAUUAUAUCACGUGACACCUUCGAACGCAAGAAGUUCUAGCAAAUCAUCUGUCAAAAAUCGUUUCAAAUCUAGAAAAUAACUUUGUUGCAAGUUAGCUUAGUUAGUUUGAGUUUAGUUAGCAGUUGAGUUUAUUCUCUACUCAGUAUAAGUCAUAAGUGUAUGGAUCCCUUUUUAUGUGAUUAAA